UACGUAGGGACCGAGCGUUGUCCGGAAUCAUUGGGCGUAAAGAGCUCGUAGGCGGCUUGUCACGUCGGAUGUGAAAGCCCGGGGCUUAACCCCGGGUCCGCAUUCGAUACGGGCAGGCUAGAGUGUGGUAGGGGAGAUCGGAAUUCCUGGUGUAGCGGUGAAAUGCGCAGAUAUCAGGAGGAACACCGGUGGCGAAGGCGGAUCUCUGGGCCAUUACUGACGCUGAGGAGCGAAAGCGUGGGGAGCGAACAGG
rnacentral:rRNA from 1 species